rnacentral:rRNA from 1 species
AAUCAACGCUGGCGGCGUGCCUAACACAUGCAAGUCGAACGCGAAAGCCCCUUCGGGGGGUAAGUAGAGUGGCGUCCGGGUGAGUAACACGUAGGUAAUCUACCUUCGGGUGGGGAAUAACUCGCCGAAAGGCGAGCUAAUACCGCAUAAUGCAGCGGCACCUAAUGGUGAUUAGUUGUUAAAGCGGGGGAUCGUAAGACCUCGCGCCUGAAGAGGAGCCUGCGGCAGAUUAGCUAGNGGUGAGGUAAUGGCUCACCAAGGCUUCGAUCUGUAGCUGGUCUGAGAGGACGGCCAGCCACACUGGCACUGACACACGGGCCAG